CGAAGAAAUCGGGGCUAAUACCGCAUAAUGCAGCGGCACCUAAUGGUGACAGUUGUUAAAGCGGGGGAUCGAAAGACCUCGCGUCUAGAGAGGAGCCUGCGGCGGAUUAGCUAGUUGGUAAGGUAACGGCUUACCAAGGCGAUGAUCCGUAGCCGGCCUGAGAGGGCGGUCGGCCACACUGACACUGACAUACGGGUCAGACUCCUACGGGAGGCAGCAGUCGGGAAUUUUGGGCAAUGGGCGAAAGCCUGACCCAGCAACGCCGCGUGAAGGAUGAAAUCCCUCGGGAUGUAAACUUCGCAAGAACGGGAAGAAUAAGUAAGAGUUAAUAUCUCUUACGAUGACGGUACCGUUUGUAAGCUCCGGCUAACUCCGUGCCAGCAGCCGCGGUAAUACGGGGGGAGCAAGCGUUGUUCGGAUUUACUGGGCGUAAAGGGCGCGUAGGCGGCCACCGCAAGUCGGUUGUGAAAUCUCCGGGCUUAACCCGGAAAGGUCAACCGAUACUGCGGGGCUAGAGUGCAGAAGGGGCAACUGGAAUUCUCGGUGUAGCGGUGAAAUGCGUAGAUAUCGAGAGGAACACCUGCGGCGAAGGCGGGUUGCUGGGCUGACACUGACGCUGAGGCGCGAAAGCUAGGGGAGCGACG
rnacentral:rRNA from 1 species